rnacentral:rRNA from 1 species
AACGAACGCUGGCGGCAGGCUUAACACAUGCAAGUCGAACGCAUCGCAAGAUGAGUGGCAGACGGGGGAGUAACGGGUGGGAACAUACCCUUUCCUACGGAAUAGCGCUGGGAAACUGGAAUUAAUACCGAAUACGCCCUACGGGGCAAAGAUUUAGCGGGGUAGGAUUGGCCCGCGUUGGAUCAGCUAGUUGGUGGGGUAAAGGGCUACCAAGGCGACGAUCGAUAGCUGGUCUGAGAGGAUGAUCAGCCACAUUGGGACUGAGACACGGCCCAAACUCCUACGGGAGGCAGCAGUGGGGAAUAUUGGAAAAUGGGCGCAAGCCUGAUCCAGCCAUGCCGCGUGAGUGAUGAAGGCCUUAGGGUUGUAAAGCUCUUUCACCGAUGAAGAUAAUGACGGUAGUCGGAGAAGAAGCCCCGGCUAACUUCGUGCCAGCCGCCGCCGUAAGAC